rfam:Myotis brandtii contig229993, whole genome shotgun sequence.
GCCCGUUUGGCUCAGUGGGUAGAGCGUCAGCCUUCAGACUGAAAGAAAGGUCACGGGUUCGAUUCCCAUCAAGGGCA